AUAGCAGACCCCAACUUGUUUGGGACUAAGGUCUAAGGAGUAGUAGUAGUAGUAGUUGUUGUUGUUGUUGCAUAUGCUUGUCCUGUUGAUGAGACGGACACAAAUCUCUAUGUACUUCUGGUGCUGGGAUGGUAGAUCCUUACCUCUCUUAUUUUCAUUUGGUUGUGGCUGGUAAGGGUGAGUGGGCUGGUGAGAUCAAGUCACUGAAAUUCCUGCGCAAUCCAUAAAAUAGAUACUGAAUAUCAUUUUACUGCUAUUCAAGUUUUCUAUAGGAAGAAGAAUAUGUUGAAAAUUAUUUGUUAAAAAAUAAAGAGUCUAGAUGUUUGUGAGUUUUUUCUAGUUUGAUGUGCUUUGGAAAUUGGAGAAAUGCUUAAGAGGCACGUACAGCAAGUUUGAAUAUGCAGAGUGCUUAUUUGAGCUUGAAGUAAGGCUAUUGUUUUAUGUAACUGAAUAUUAGUUUCCCAUCUUGAUUUCAGGUUUUCAGAUUGCAAGUGAAUAAUGGGAUUCCUAUUAAGAGUUGGUUUGAUGACCCUUCAGACUCUGCACUAAUUUCUUUACUUCCAUUCCUAGAGGCACUGGCUGAUGCUGAUGAUGUCCGACCUAUCAUUGCUAAGAAAUUUGGUAACAAGGAAUAAGAGGCCCUUGUUUCUUCCUAGUAGUUCCUCUAACAAUCCCUCCUAAGAAAUUUGGUAACAAGGAAUAAGAAGCCCUUGUUUCUUCCUAGUAGUUCCUCUAACAAUCCCUCCUCUCUCUUCUCAUUUAAAAAAGAUUAUCCUUCAUUUACAUGCUCAUUGUUCUAUCCUCAUUGAGCCUUGAUAUAAUUGGGUGUGCAAUAAGAAUACUAGUCCUCUUCUAGUUGAGUCAGCUUUUUGUGCUCAUUACUUUCUUGUUUCUACCCUUUUGACAACCUUCUUCAGUCCAUUGCUUAUCUAAUUUCUCACAUAUAGUUGCAAGAGGUUCUCAUUGUGUGCAAUGUACAGUUAUAUGCCUAGUUAUUUACAAGCUUGUGUAUAUGAAUUGAUCUUUUGUGAAAUAAAUUUUGUGGUUGUGUUUUGUUGUCCUAGUAUAAAAGCUGUCUGUUUGAUC
rnacentral:lncRNA from 1 species